GAUAAACGCUGGUGGCGUGCCUAAUACAUGCAAGUCGAGCGAACGGACGAGAAGCUUGCUUCUCUGAUGUUAGCGGCGGACGGGUGAGUAACACGUGGAUAACCUACCUAUAAGACUGGGAUAACUUCGGGAAACCGGAGCUAAUACCGGAUAAUAUUUUGAACCGCAUGGUUCAAAAGUGAAAGACGGUCUUGCUGUCACUUAUAGAUGGAUCCGCGCUGCAUUAGCUAGUUGGUAAGGUAACGGCUUACCAAGGCAACGAUGCAUAGCCGACCUGAGAGGGUGAUCGGCCACACUGGAACUGAGACACGGUCCAGACUCCUACGGGAGGCAGCAGUAGGGAAUCUUCCGCAAUGGGCGAAAGCCUGACGGAGCAACGCCGCGUGAGUGAUGAAGGUCUUCGGAUCGUAAAACUCUGUUAUUAGGGAAGAACAUAUGUGUAAGUAACUGUGCACAUCUUGACGGUACCUAAUCAGAAAGCCACGGCUAACUACGUGCCAGCAGCCGCGGUAAUACGUAGGUGGCAAGCGUUAUCCGGAAUUAUUGGGCGUAAAGCGCGCGUAGGCGGUUUUUUAAGUCUGAUGUGAAAGCCCACGGCUCAACCGUGGAGGGUCAUUGGAAACUGGAAAACUUGAGUGCAGAAGAGGAAAGUGGAAUUCCAUGUGUAGCGGUGAAAUGCGCAGAGAUAUGGAGGAACACCAGUGGCGAAGGCGACUUUCUGGUCUGUAACUGACGCUGAUGUGCGAAAGCGUGGGGAUCAAACAGGAUUAGAUACCCUGGUAGUCCACGCCGUAAACGAUGAGUGCUAAGUGUUAGGGGGUUUCCGCCCCUUAGUGCUGCAGCUAACGCAUUAAGCACUCCGCCUGGGGAGUACGACCGCAAGGUUGAAACUCAAAGGAAUUGACGGGGACCCGCACAAGCGGUGGAGCAUGUGGUUUAAUUCGAAGCAACGCGAAGAACCUUACCAAAUCUUGACAUCCUUUGACAACUCUAGAGAUAGAGCCUUCCCCUUCGGGGGACAAAGUGACAGGUGGUGCAUGGUUGUCGUCAGCUCGUGUCGUGAGAUGUUGGGUUAAGUCCCGCAACGAGCGCAACCCUUAAGCUUAGUUGCCAUCAUUAAGUUGGGCACUCUAAGUUGACUGCCGGUGACAAACCGGAGGAAGGUGGGGAUGACGUCAAAUCAUCAUGCCCCUUAUGAUUUGGGCUACACACGUGCUACAAUGGACAAUACAAAGGGCAGCGAAACCGCGAGGUCAAGCAAAUCCCAUAAAGUUGUUCUCAGUUCGGAUUGUAGUCUGCAACUCGACUACAUGAAACUGGAAUCGCUAGUAAUCAUAGAUCAGCAUGCUACGGUGAAUACGUUCCCGGGUCU
rnacentral:rRNA from 1 species